AUUGAACGCUGGCGGCAGGACUAACACAUGCAAGUCGAACGAAUGGCGGACGGGUGAGGAAUGUCUGGGAAACUGCCCGAUGGAGGGGGAUAACGACUGGAAACGGUAGCUAAUACCGCAUACCAUCGGAGGUGAACCGAUGGGAUUAGCUAGUAGCUGGGGAAAAGGCUCACCUAGGCGACGAUCCCUAGCUGGGAUGAGAGGAUGACCAGCCCAACUGGAACUGAGACACGGUCCAGCCUCCUACGGGAGGCAGCAGUGGGGAAUAUUGCACAAUGGGCGCAAGCCUGAUGCAGCCAUGCCGCGUGUAUGAAGAAGGCCUUCGGGUUGUAAAGUACUUUCAGCGAGGAGGCGUUACUCGCAGAAGAAGCACCGGCUAACUCCGUGCCAGCAGCCGCGGUAAUUC
rnacentral:rRNA from 1 species